rnacentral:rRNA from 1 species
UGGGGAAUUUUCCGCAAUGGGCGAAAGCCUGACGGAGUGACGCCGCGUGGGGGACGAAGGCCUUCGGGUUGUAAACCCCUGUCAGAGGGAAAGAAGGGUGUCGGCGCGAUAACCGCCGGCACUUGACGGUACCUUCAGAGGAAGCCCCGGCCAACUCUGUGCCAGCAGCCGCGGUAAGACAGAGGGGGCAAGCGUUGCUCGGAAUCACUGGGCGUAAAGGGCGCGUAGGCGGGAUGGCAAGUCAGUCGUGAAAUCUCUCGGCUCAACCGAGAAACGUCGGCUGAUACUGCCGUUCUUGAGGGAUGCAGAGGAGACUGGAAUUCCCGGUGUAGCGGUGAAAUGUGUAGAGAUCGGGAGGAACACCGGUGGCGAAGGCGGGUCUCUGGGCAUCUCCUGACGCUGAGGCGCGAAAGCGUGGGGAGCAAACGGGAUUAGAUACCCCCGUAGUCC